ensembl:lncRNA
UAAUAUUUUUUUUCCCUUACUCAGACAAUGUAGUGGAAUGGUUUUUUGUCAGUUGUUCCACAUCUCUUCAUUUAAGGGAAUGUGUAGCAUGAGAAGCUCAGGAUGGAGCUUGUCCUGCGUUCUUGGAUUCCUGCUUAGUUAUGGCCAUUACUAUCUGUGUAGUAUCCCAAAUACUGUUCUUUCGCACCCUCUUAAAAAUGUGACACCUAGAGAAGUUUCAGCCUACACAUCUUGUAUUGAAGAGUCAGCGUGCUUCUUCCUCAGCCUCAGGAUGAGGUUCUGAACAUAAGAACAUGGUUACCCCGUGCACAGUGCUCGAGCACACUGUUUCCAAAUAGAGAUAGCAAAUCUGAGUUUGGAGUCACCUUCACUUCAAUAUUCUAGAGCUACAGAAUGAGGUGAGGAAGACCAGUGCAGGCAGUGUGCAUGCUCACCUGGCUGUCUGCUUCGUGACCAGAUUGUGCUGGAGUUUCACUGGAGCGUCUCAGUGCUCCAAGCUACGGCAGUCACUGUGACCAGGAUCCUGGCCAGAAGUGAUGUCAAGGAUCAGUGCAAUGAGAACAGCAAGUUUCUGUAAUAGGGAAUUACUGAAUAACAAAUGGUGUACGUGCAGCAUCAGCAGAGGGACAUCAGAAGUAUUAAGAAACUGCUUUGUUUUUGAAAGCCUGGACUCAGAAUCAGCUGGGAAAGCAACACAAUUACAAGUGACUACUUACAAA